AAGGCAGCAAAUAAUGAUGUUGGUCUCCUCGAGGGACAGGACUUUCUGCAAGACAAUUUUGUGUUUUACUACUACAAAGAUGUUUGAAAAACUCUAUGGCAUGCUACAGACCAGGCAGGAAUUAGUGCCCGUGGAAGCUCACAUUUCUGGCUGCCACUGAAAGUAAAAGAAACAGACACCUGUUUUUUUUACCACAUCUGAAUAAAAGAGAAGAAGUCAUCAUAGGUCUUCAGUGAGAGAACAGUUCAGCUGUUAAGAAACUUCUCUACUUUGGAGGUUUAAAGCAGAAACCUUUCUUCAUGCAAGACUGCAGUAUCGAGAAUUCUACUAAACAUUUUUGUUCACGACAGAUGUUUGUCAUGUUUUGCCAGAGGCUUGAACAGUUCACAGCUUUGCCUGAACAUAAAUUGCUAGUAUAAAAGCAGGAGGUACUGGAAAGCUGACAUACCUGUCCUUUUUCAAUAAAUAACAGAAAAGAACAUCGUCAGCAAUAAUGCCAAUUUUUUAUCUUCUAUUUACAGAACUGCAAAAGAAAUUUACUGAUUUGAAAAUGAAAUGGUCUUGAGGUAACAGAGGAAAUGGCAGCACGCUAAAUUUCAGUUUGGAAUAAUACGGAGGUUUUGUGACUGUACCUCAGGCAGUUAGUCGCCAAGCCUAGGUAAUUCAUGUGCACUAUGUUAAACUUACUUUGUAUUAAAAGAAAAGAACAGGAGAAGUAAUAGAUAUCACACAGGAUAGUGCUUUCUGUCUCUGUUGCUGUUGCAGUCAGAUUUAAACAUUCUCCCUCCAUCCUUCACCAUCCUAUUUUAAUUCUCAGUUAUAAUCAGCAAACUUGAAGUCUUUUAUAAACUAAAUUAAUUUAUAUCCUUUUAGCAUAAAGAACUUCCGCAAGAGGUUCUCUUGUGCAGCGUUAAAGAACGUUGUAAGAAAAUAUCAUGUGCCAAAUACAAAAAUAAUUUCCAAACAGAUCAAGUAAAUAACAGGAUUAAUGUUAAUACAGGGCAUUGCAUUACGUCAUUUGUAAAAGUUCAGUGCUUUCACUUUUUCUGUUAUCAUGUUUUUGCUAUGACUUGUUUCAAAUGUUUAUUUAUCAGAAUACAAUAAGCACAGUCUAAAAAUAAGAGCUGCUAAACUCCUGGAGCUGAGGAUGAGGUUGGUUAACUUCCAGGGGUUAAUCCAAACUAGAUAUUAGGGAGGGACAAAGUGACCUGUGUCAUAACUGGCAAUGCAGUUCUGGCACAGCGUGUCAUUAGUUAACAAAUAUGCAGCAAACUAAACAUUUGUCAUCAAAGCCUAUAAAUUGCCGGAGGUACUUCUUGUAUCUUUGCAUCGCCCAUGCAUGGUCAAAACCAGCGUACGUUUCGCAGGAGAUAGGGAAAACAAUUUUAUACUUGAGUUUUACAGAGGUUGGAGGCACUGAGGUAAAGAUUUCCCACUGUGGAAAAGGACAGUUCACUGCAUAGACUUCAAUAGAGCACCACACUCCAGCCAUUACUAUUGGAAUUUUGCUGAGGCUCUGACUUUCAUUGAUGGCGACUCUCCCUUUUGACAUAAGGGAACAAAUCAGGCUUGAAUGGGAAAAUAUUCUCAAAAAUAUUUUGGCCAUGCUAAAAAGUCCCUCUGGCUUAGCCAGUGAGCAGUACACUGUGUCUGGAAGGAAGUCAGAAGUGGUAUUUCACAUGAUAUUUUCUUUGCGUUUGUAAGAGAGUGAUAGAAGGAAAUAAGUCAUUUAAUUAUUGAACUGUUUUCUUUGGUUUGCUAGUAAGUUGGCAGCUGGAAGCCCUAAAGCUUAGAGCCUUACACAUUUUUCUGUACAUGUUUACCUAGGAGUAAAUAGAUAUUUUCCAAGUUAAUAUUAAUAUGCAUUCAUAUUAAUGUCAAGUAUUAGCACUUGUACUUCUCUCUUGAAAUCAAAGGCUUGUUUUCAUAGGUCUUGGGAAUAGAGUUCAAAAGCCUUUAUACUGAUUAUCUCUGAUAUCUUAGCGUAGGAACGGAAAAAGGAAGGAGAAAAUAUUCCUGAAGGCAAGUCUGUUUAGUAUUUCAGUGUUCUGUUGGAUGAGAGCCAAAAUGUCUUGGGCAAGUGAUAGUUGUAUUUCUAAUCAUACACUUGCCCCAGCAACACUUUGCAUUUGUGUGUCUGUGUGUCUGGAGUGUGUGUGUCUGGAGUGACCACAAUGCUGCUUCCAGCCAUUUCCAUUGCUUUGUCAUCUCCUCAGUAUCUCAAGGGGCUCCAAGACCUGGGCUGUGUCUUCCCAGAGGUCUGUCAGGUGCCUUUGUCCCUCCCUUUGUGGUGUCCAAAAUACCAACCAAGCUUAUCUUAAAACAGUUUACAAAGGUUCAGUGAACACCAGAUGUUUCUUCUCCUUUUUUAUUCUUAGUUUUAAACAUGCUGGCAAGAUCCACAGCUUCUAAAAUCUGCUUCAUUUCCUUGCUCUUUGUAGAGGAGACUGCUCAUCAUUAAUAUAUUCAGCAAACUCAUGCCACUUAAGUGCUCUGUGAUCUUUAAGGAGGAAAUAAACAGAGUAAUACUGAGGACCUGGGGGUCCUGGUGGACAACGGGUUGGCCACAAGCCAGCAGUGUGCCCCUGUGGCCAAGAAGGCCAAUGAUAUCCUGGGGUGCAUUAGAAAGAUCACAUUAUAUAACGUGUUACCAUGCCUUUGUUUACAUAAGCAUACAAAAUGUCUGUGGUCUAACAAAAACAAGCUUUAAGAUGCCUGCAAAGCAGCAUGCAGAAAACCAAAGAUAGCUGAAUUCAGAGGUGCUAAUGACUGAAGUGUUCACUACAGAAAAUAAUUAGCUAGCUAUCUAGAUAAAAGCUAGAGGAGCAUACACAUUCUGUAAUUUACUAGUUAAAAGGAUAAAGAUAAGUAGUGUUUUAAAGAUCCUGGCUUCAAGAGAUUGCAGGGCUGGAUCUGGUUGUGCAGGGGCUGAUCACUAUUUGCAUGCACUCUACUGUACUGCUGGAAAUGAAACAUGAGAAAACCAGUGCUGGGUAAAGCUAUGUAACUGGGCACUGCAGAUGAUCUGGCCUAUGGAGGGGUGGCAUGAGGAGUGAUGGAGUGUUGCUCUGGAGUAUCAGCAGCAGGCAGUGCUCUCUGUUAGCAGGAGUAGCAGCUAGAGACAGAGUAAUGUGUGGCCAGUGGUAGAACCGGGCUCUGGAAAGGGCAGUGAAUGUGAAGCACCACUAUUACCUUUGAAAAAGGUAAUGCUACACGUGCUUGAAUUUUCCCUUUUUGCCAAACUUUGAAUUUUCCAAAGUUAAGUGCAAAUUCUUCCCACAAAAUAGGUGAAUGGAAGGGGCCUGACAUUUUUUGAGUAUUAGAAAGAGUUGGUAAGGGGGCAAACAGCAGAACAGGGGACAGAUAAGAGCAGGGAAAGGGAUGAAAACUAACGAAGGAACCAAAUAUAUCAAGCAGUAACAUACCAUUCAUCUGAUAACGGUAACAAGAGGAGCUAGUUCUUUGUAUUGUAGGAGCAGAAAUAAAUCUACUUACAACAUUAAUCAGUAAUGCUUUGAAUUAAUAAUACAUAAUGGACUAAUGGAUCUGAAAAGUCAUUAGAGGCUUGCAGGAGGCUUACUUCCUGAAAGUAAUCUGCAUGAACAUUAACAUUAGAGCUAGUCAGAGAGCAGAUGAUCUUGUCUGUGUGAUAUUACAUCUGCAAGCGAUAACAAAUGAAUUCUGUUUUUCAUAAAAAAUGCUAAAAUAAGUCUCUUUUAAUAAGUUUCUUCCAAAAUUUUUGCGUGGAGUUUCUAAGUGUUAAUUUCAGAAAAACAGUGAAAGAAUGCAUGUCAUGGGUCACUGCCAGGUUUUGCUCACCAAAAGGCACAUAUUACUCUCAAAAGUAGAACAGAAGCAAGAUGGGAGUAGGUAUUUUUCUCAUUCCUACCACUUAUCGUCUUACAAAAAGAUACUUCUGGAAAAAAAAAAUGUUCUGAAGACAUUCAAAACCUUCAGAAGUUAAUGAUAUUGGUCAUACUACUUUUCUCCUCACAUGACAAGAGAUUUAGUAACUUCAGAACCUACUAUUAAUUUGUUUUCCUUUGUUUUACCCCUCUGGUCCAUUUCUUGUCUUUAUUCUCUGUUUCUGAAAGUUGCUAUUUUGUAGAGAAGUGGUUUAAAAGAACCAAGGGUGUGCUCUAACUGAAAGUAAUAAACAAGGUUAAAUGCACCUAUAAAUAAAACAAAUUCUAAUAAAAUUGAUUUCUGAAAACCAAGCAACUUUCCAGAAGUGUUGAUAAAUCAAAAAUGUAUUAAAAAAUAUACAUAUGCAGAAAGCCUGUAAGAACCAGUGUAACAUAAUAUAAUUUGAUAUCACUUAGCUUCUAU